rnacentral:rRNA from 1 species
CUGUGACGAACAAGUGCGUGAGUGGAAAGCUCGCACCCUGACGGUAACAGAGGAGGAAGCCACGGCUAACUACGUGCCAGCAGCCGCGGUAAUACGUAGGUGGCAAGCGUUGUCCGGAAUCACUGGGCGUAAAGCGCGCGCAGGCGGCGAUCUACGUCUGGGGUGAAAGCCCGGAGCUCAACUCCGGGACUGCCUUGGAUACGGGAUCGCUUGAGGAUUGGAGAGGCAAGGGGAAUUCCACGUGUAGCGGUGAAAUGCGUAGAUAUGUGGAGGAACACCUGUGGCGAAGGCGCCUUGCUGGCCAAUUUCUGACGCUGAGGCGCGAAAGCGUGGGGAGCAAACAGGAUUAGAUACCCUGGUAGUCCACGCCGUAAACGAUGAGUGCUAGGUGUUGGGGGGUACCACCCUCAGUGCCGAAGCUAACGCAUUAAGCACUCCGCCUGGGGAGUACGGUCGCAAGACUG